UUUUAGGGAGACCUACACCCCUCAGAAAUCGAAAAACAUACAGUUAAAUUGAUACUGAGUUGGUCUAACCUAGGUCGGUCGAGAUUGGUAGAUAACUUUCAAAGUAUUACUGGUUCAGUAUAUAUAAACUUUUCUAAAAAGCUAGUGUAAUUGAGAAAUCAGCAACAUGACAGUGGUGUCAGACUGCUGAGUUAGUUCUCAGCCAGAACCUUGAAAACUGCAUAGUAACGCGAAAUUAGCAGGCAGACACAGACAUUCUUUCGAGAAUGAAAAGUGAAUGCGGAUGUAACACCAAAUGUAAAAGU
rnacentral:misc_RNA from 1 species